AACUGAGAAAAAUCUGCUGUCCUUCAGUAAAUGAUUACAAAACUGCUUCAAUUUUCAGUAAGAAAGAAUGGAUUUUUUUCAAUUGUUAAUGUGCUGGCCCACCUCCCAAAGGAGAAGAUGCAACUCCCAGAUGUCGGAGGCUUGUAAGCAAUCUUUGCCUUGGAAAUGAUUGUCUUUUUUUCUUUGAGUUUUUAACUUUGCUCUCAACACCAGGUGUCACUGUAGUGACAGAAAACCUUACAAAUUCAGGAGAAUUGGUCAGCAAAGCAAAAUUUGCAAAAUGAAAAGCACUCCAGACACAAGGUGGCAAUGGCAGCAGUUACACAUAUGAUACUCCAUAAAACAGUGUACAUUGUGUAAGCAAAAGAC
rnacentral:lncRNA from 1 species